CGAGGAGGGAGGUCUCAGAAGACACCAAACCUGCCCGUACCUUGAUCUUGGACUUCCAGACUCUAGAAUUAGCUGGAGAAAACCUGGUGACAAGGGAAAACAGCUUCUCCACGGCCAGAAGUCUGGCUUCCUGUGUCAAUCCGUCAGGACCUCCCAGACAGUGACCAACAUCUCUCGUGUUGCCUCUGCCUCAGGUGAUGAAGAUUUAAGAUGCAGCAGUGUCAAAGAGCUGGCAUUUUGAAGAUUUGAA